rnacentral:lncRNA from 1 species
AAAUCUGGACACAACAGUUUUGGCACCCAUCAAGUAGAAAGUUUGCUCAAUUUUUCUUUUUUUUUUUUGAGAUGGAGUCUCACUCUGUGACUAGGAUGGAAUGCAGUGGUGCAACCCCUGCCUCCCUAGUUCAAGAGAUUCUCCUGCCUCAGCGGAGGAUCACUUGAGACCGGGAGUUUAAGACCAGCCUGGGCAACAUAAUGAAACCUUACCAUAAGCUGCCAUGCUGGCCACCCAGGAUGUGGCCCAGAGGUGCAAGGAGCUGGGCAUCACUGCCCUACACAUCAAACUCUGGGCCACAGGAGGAAACAGGAACAAGUCCCCUAGACCUGGGGCCCAGAUGUCCCUCAGAGCCCCUUGCCUGCUCAGGUAUGAAGAUCCGGCAGAUUGAAGAUGUCACUCCAUUUCCCCUCUGACAGCACUCCCAGGAAGGGGGGUCACC